GCUGUAUGCUUUCUGUAUUGUACAAGAAGUAAGGAGUUGGCCCACCGUCCCCUAACCUCGCGGAGCCUUUAUUCCCUUGCCGGCUCCCGUUCGAUUCCCCUCUAUUAUUAGUCAAUUUUCUCUCUCAACUUCAUCUUCUUCCUCUGCUUCUUCCCCCAAUUCAUUGCUCCGGCCCAUCCCCGGCGGAUUCAUCGACCGCGUUGUCGUGGUUCUGGGAGCAGUGCAAGGUACGUUCUGACAAUGGAUCUAGACGACGACGAUUUUGAGAUGCCAUCUAGAACAUCCCCUCAUUUUCGAUUCAGGAACACACCAAAGAAGAAACAUGAGGAGGACUUGGUUAAUCACACUGGAACAGAGAAGAGGCCACUGAAGAGAAGGAAAACAGGAGCACAUAAUGCUAACAGACUGAAGUUUGAACUUUAGUGGUGAUCUAUUCAGAAAUAAGAAAAUUGGGCGUAAGACAUUAUUAAAACUCCUAACAACACAACUCUAGUUCGAACUUCAGUAGUACCGUAUAGAGCAACGAAGUAGUAAGUUCUCUUAGUACUUGCCAUUUGUAUUUAUAUUUUUAUAAGUUUUAGAAGUUAUCAUGCAUGUAUGUUUUUUUACCAGAUUUGUGUUUAUGUCCCUGAUCCUGAGUUCAUUUUCAAUUCUGAUUGGCUUCCAUAUGGUCAUUGCGAAUAUAUGCAGUACCGUAAAUUUCUUAAUACAUAUGUAUUGUAAAUUCCACCGAUUUGAAAGUGCCAGCAUUUUGUGGUCCUUAUAUUAAUUAGUUCUGGUAGCUGCAUAGGAUUUAUAUCAAUUUGAGCUGUCCAGUCAUGAAGGUAGUCCUAAGCUUUGAACAUUCCAUUCCAAUUGCUGCUAUGUUGUUGACAUAAACAUGCAAUAUACAAGAUUUGUGCAUUGUUGCACGCAUUUCUCAGUUAUAAAAAAAUGAAUAAAUUAAGGUGCCAACAAUUUCCAAUAGAUAAACAACACCAAAGGAACACAGUAUUACGGAACAAUGUAUGUAUUCUUUUUGUUUCUUGAUGCUUUGUUAUAAAUUAAGUACCAUGGACAGUGUUUACCUAUAAGUGAAUGCCGAACCUAUAGGUCACGUAUAUUCCGAAUCUCCGUGUUGCUACAUAAACAACCUUUAGCUGAAGUUUUUUCAUUCUGUAAUACCAAUUUUACACUAAAUUAGAGCAGUAGUUUCCUUUUUUAGCUUUAUUUGUUCCAUGCUAAUAUGUGGUUGUAUAUUUGAAGCAGAAUAUCGGAUUCAAAUGUUCCCCUCAUCUUUUGUUCGAUCUCCUGAAGAACCUAGACAUAGAUCAGAGAAAAUGUUUUGAUGAACUCGGAUUCGGUAUUCUAUUAUCCAUGCCAAAUUGUAGGCUUCCUAAAGAUCUGACAGUGUGGUUAGUGAACCAUUUCAGUUGGAAGAAGCAAGCUCUGACUGUACGUGGCCGCACAGUCCCAAUUAAACUUCUUAUGAAGAAGUUGUUAGGUAUACCUGAUGGCCCUUUUCCUGUACCUUUGCCCCGUAGCAAGCGUGGCAAAUCAAAGUGCAUUUACCCCACCGAAGAGGACAAAGAGAUGAAGGAUGAGAAAGGUGCAAGGGGUUUGAGUUAUAAGGCUACAUACGAGUCACUAAUAUCUACUCAUGACCCAGUACAAUUUAAAAGAUCCUUUAUGUUGUACGUGCUCUAUAUUUACUUUGCUCCAUCUAGUGGCCACUUUAUUAACCUUGGCUACUCACCCGUAAUGAGCAACGUUGACCUCAUCAAGGAUAUGAACUGGCGCGACCAUGUAGCUAAUGUUCUCAUCGAAGGAAUUCGGGAAUAUCGAGACUCGAAGGCAGUUAAUGUCAAUAUCCACGGAUGUGUACAUGUUCUGCUGCUCAUUUAUAUUGAUAUGGUUAAGUCUCCAAUAUUGGAAGUUCCCGGAGGAUGCCCCCGUGUACUAUAUGUAACUACUGAUUUGCUAGACUUGUUAGAUUUGUCUGAUUUGAAGUCCAGCUCAUGUGAUGGUCCAGAGUAUGGCAAGCUAUAGCUUGCUGAUUCGCCAUAUGGAGAAGAGUUUGUAUCAUCCGCCACAGCAAAUAGACGUCCCACCAGGUCCAUACCUGGCUGCAGUAGUACUGCCCAUACUACUGUGGAUGUUCUAAAGGUCUUAUUUGAUGGAAUGCAGCAAACUGAAGCGCAAUAUUCAACAUCAAGAGACAAGAUCCAUGCAGAAAUGUACGAGACAAGAUCCCUGAAUGCAAUAUAGCCGUUUGCCCACACGCUAUGUAUUAUUAUUUUUAUGCAAUGGAAUGAUGAAAAUAUGACUCUUUGGAAGCUGGUCAGUACUAUAAAAUUCGAGGUAGACCUCCCGCUUGGAUCAGGAACACUGAAAUAUUUCACAUUCUAUAUCAACUUCUACUAUCAACUUCUUCAAAUCCCAGAAGGAUGUCUUCUUUUUCUUACUCCUUUAGAAGCGCUCGUGAUGCAGCCCCGCCCCUUCCUCUGUUCUGUGCCCAUGUUGCGGUUUAGAAAGAACAACCACUUUCGUGUCGUAUCCAACCCGGGCAUAAGAUUCUACAAGUGCCCCUAACCAGGGAGAAAAUGGCACUUGCGAUUUUUUCCUCUCGGAACAGCACUAUGCAUUCUUCAUUACCGGAGUUGGGAUCAAUUUGUUGAUAGAAGCUGCUGGUGGUGGAAGCAAUUUCAUGUUUGGAAUGGCAGGUUUCAUGAGAGAUAUUAAGGCGGUGGUGAUGAACACGUUCAUGCUGUGCAUAAUCAUAUUAUCAAUUGUCGCAUUCCACUUUUCACACAACUUCAUUUGAUGUUGCAAAUGACCCAGCAGAUCAUUUACCAACUAAUAUGUAGUGGGCACACUAUAUUUAUAGGUAUAUCUGCUACUGUAUUGCGCUACUAUAGUCAUCAAGCCUUGUAGGCUAGGUCUAGUUAUUUAUAUGCGAUGGUAAUCACAUUUUUAUCACAUGUACUGUUUGUUCUGGAAUAUGUGCUGCAUGAUUUGGAGUUCGCAAGUUGUAUCGAGCAGCCAUGCCUAUACAGACGACUGAACAGUACACUAUGUGUACCGUCUGUACUUUCAACUGUGCAAGGUUGGCUAGCUGAUGUUCAUGCAUGUCAGCACGAUGCACAAUCCGCUCUCCUAAGAAACCAAUGUGUAUACAAUAUGGCUGAAUGAUGUAACUGGAGACCACUACUUGUACCUUC